AAAGCGUGCGCAGGCGGUUAUGUAAGACAGAUGUGAAAUCCCCGGGCUCAACCUGGGAACUGCAUUUGUGACUGCAUGGCUAGAGUACGGUAGAGGGGGAUGGAAUUCCGCGUGUAGCAGUGAAAUGCGUAGAUAUGCGGAGGAACACCGAUGGCGAAGGCAAUCCCCUGGGCCUGUACUGACGCUCAUGCACGAAAGCGUGGGGAGCAAACAGGAUUAGAUACCCGGGU
rnacentral:rRNA from 1 species